GGGGAUAUAGCUCAGUUGGUAGAGUUCUAGCUUCACAUGCAUGUGGCCCUGGGUUCAAUCCCCAGCUCCACCA
rnacentral:tRNA from 1 species